AGGGGACUGUGGGACCCUGACUUGUUCUUCUUCCUGUUUCACUUCCUGCCAGUGAGUGAGCAGUUUUCUCUGCCAACACUCCUGUUAUUGCCAUCCAGCAGGCCCAAGAGAAGCCUAAAAGCAACGGGUCUGCCUACUCAUGGACUGGAAGCCCCAAAAAUUCUGAGCCAAAAUAAACCUUUCUCUUUAUAAGGUUAAACAAACUUAAUGGCAGUGAGAAAUAAACUAUAGUCUCUGGAUGAAAAUGGGAAGGGAAGGAGCUACAGGUGAGAAGAUAAAGAACCAGUUAAUACCACAUCCUCAGCCCUGAGUGUCCCUCCUGUCCUCCUAACCUCUAGCCAACUAUCAGUGACUUAUGCUUUUGUGGAAGAAAAGAGGGCACUGGCACCCCUUCCAAGAAACGGGUUUCCUCCAAAAAGCUUCUGGAGACUUGUCACUUGGAGUUUUAACUCCUCUGCUUUGAUACCAGGCCAAGUUUUGUUGUCGGAGGUGUGUUUUUGUUUUUGUUUUGUUUUCACAAAAUUUUCCUAUCCCUUGUUGUUUGAAGUUCACCACGAUCUGGGAGACACACACCUGGGGCACAGAGGCUAAGAGAGGUCCUUCAACUCCUAAAAAUAAAGCCCUAAGUCCUCCUCCAGUAAAACCAUCCCAUGAAGGAAUCCAACACAUGGACCCUUCCAGUGGUCACCCAUGCUAUAGUGGAUGAGUCCACAGAAGUUCUGUUGAGAGCAAAGACACAUUCUCUGUAAGGCUGUUCAUUUGAGUCUUAAUCAAACUUGGGGACAAUAAAAGUAUGCCCUGUCGUUUGAA